CGCUGAAUUCUAACCGUAGAGGAUCCCAGUCGCGGGAACAGUAUUUCUUGUUUGUAAUAAAUAAGGUAGUUGAUAUUCUAUAACAGGUUUUAAACAAGAUUAAUAGUUGUAUUGUUGUCUUCCUUUGUCUUAUGACGGUACAAUUAAUUUUAUACAUCUUCUAUCGUGUAUUGAAGCUUGAAGAGUAGUAUGGAAGUAAAUGAUAGCUCAAUGAUUCUUCAAAAUAAUAGCAGUAGUGUAACAGUAGCAGACUCAGUAUGGAAGUUCAUUAAUAGCCCUGUGAUUGCAAUCUUUUCUGAUUUAAAAAAUGCAACAGCCAAGCAAAUGCUUUCUUCUCUGUUGGAGUCAAUACUUAAGGGAUCUGCUACUUUGACUACAGUUUUAGUUCCACCUUUCAAUAAUGGGAUACCAAAUGAAACAUUACAAUGUCAAUAUGCUGCAUUUGGCACCUGGCUAUUUGGGAUAAUGUUUCAUAUAAUUGGAGAUCCUUUAAGUGAUAAUAUUUUAAACAACAGUAUAGAAAUACAAGCUUGUAUGCUUCGUAUAUUAUCUAGACAUCACAUUACAAUGUUUGAAACAAUUAGUCUCGAAUAUAUGAAUAUUCUUCAAGAGAUAUCAGAAUUUUAUAAAACAAAUUUAGAUGAAAAUGAAAUUGUAUUGGACAAGUUUAAUGCGGAAAGGAACAUUAUAGAGAAUCUAGAUCUACAAGCAUUUCCUAUUACACUAAAGUGUUCUAAUAUACCAUUGGUUCAGAUAUCUAUAUUAAAAAUCAUAGAAAAAACAGGGAUUUCAGGUUGGAAUCAGAAAGUACUCUCUCAAACAGUAUUGCAAGUUAUUAUGAUAUCUGUUCCAAAUGUGAAAUUUGUAGCAUUAGAUGUUUGCGUAAAAUUGAUGAAAUUUUCGUUAUUGGAGAGACAGGAAUUUGAAAGUUUGAUUCUUUAUACUAUUGAAGUUAUUAAAGGAAUUCCUACAUGGUCGAACUUGAAUGAACUAUCAGAAAAUCAAUUGAGACAAUUUUUAUGGACGCUAGUUCAAUUUAUUCAGUUUUUACCUACAUUUGUGAAUAGUAUAGAAGUAUGUUUUCAAAUCAUUGAUCUAACAGUUUAUGAACUAAUAUGGUUUGCUCCUAAACUCAGUGCUGUGGAAGCACUUAAAGAAGCUGCGUGUAAUAAAAUUCGACGAUAUUUUAUGAAGGAACCAAGAAUCUGUACCUUUUCUGAAGUACAGAAACUUGUUUCGUAUUUCGACCAUUUUCCGGAUUUUAUUGACAUUUUCGUCCAAACCGUUCUCAUUGAUGUUAAAUACACUGGUAGUAAAAGUAGUUCUGUCAGUGAUAUUUGCAAAUCAUGGAAUUUAUUGAAGAAAGAAUUAAUAACUGCAACAGAAAUGAGAAAAUUUGACAAAUCUCUUCAUAUUUUAAAAGCCUCGCGUAUUUUACAGUCUUGGCUGAAAGACCUAAAAUUGCCUACAAAUUUAUAUACAAACGAAUUAAAAGACAUCUUGAAUAUACUCCUGCAGAAUUUAAAUUCGGAACAUUGUGAGCAGAAAAAAAUUAUUUUUGAAAAUUUAGCUCAUCUUAUGGCACAUAAUGAGUCAAAUAAAGACUUAAUUGAGAAAAUAUUAGCAUUACCAUUUACUCAACAUAUUGAAAUUUCUGAGAAUGUAGUGAGUAAUCACAUGAAAGAAACUACCAGGUCUCUUGACAAUGCUACAAUGUUAAAAUGUCUUGAAGUUUUGUGUGAAUAUGGUAAUGUAACAGACCGGUUAAAAAUAUUGAAUACCUGUAUAAUUAACUGCGAUACGGAAUUAUCGAUAGGAGCAGUGUUGAAUAGUAUUUUGCUUUUAAAAAAUGGAGAAAUAAAAUUAGAAGAUAUUUCAAAAUAUGUUCUUCAACCUGCAUUACAUUCAAAUGAACAAAAGGUUCACGAAAUGCUUGUGAUUGUAUUAGGUAAAAUGAGUUGUUAUUUAUCUGGACAUGCAACUUUUAUAAGGGAUACAAAUGUUACAAAAUGGACGAUACAAUGCAAGCGUUGUAACAAUUGCUCUGAAAGCAGCUCUGAAAAUGCUAAUAUUUAUCAUGUCUCAGAAGAACAUGAUCGUCUGCUUAAUCAAUGUUUCAGUUUAUUGUCUUCAAACUUUGCUUCAGUACGUUUGCGCAUUUCUGAAAACAUUCUCUGCUUUUCAAAUCACAUUUCAUCGUUUAAUAACACCGAAGUAGCAAAACUGUGGUUUCCAUACAUGGAAGAUGAAAAUUCAGUAAUUCGUUUUAAUAUCGCUGCAACAGUAAAAGGAGUAUUAAUGAAUAAAAUAAAUACUGUAGCUGUAUCUACGACAUCUGUUGAAGACGAUGUACCUGGUUCUUUGGAUAAAUUUGUUGGAUCACUUAUUAAUACCAUAGCAAGUGCGCUUAUGAAAGCUUUGCGAAGUUCAAAUCAUGCUUUACACGAUACAUUACUUGUGACAGCAAAAAAUUGUGCAUGUAUUCCAUUGCAUAUAAUUGAGAGACGAAUUUUGAACAUAUUUUUGAUUUCUGUAUUAUAUUCGACCUCGUCUUCGGCAGCAGUAGCAUUUGCUACUACUGCAUAUCACGACAUUGCUAAAUUUUUAAACGUUUCUCCAAAAGUUUUGUACAUUCGAUAUAAAAGGAAUUUUCUUAAGUUAAUAAUGCAGUGUGCAGUUUAUAAUUUUAUACAGUAUUCCUACAAUAUGGCUACAUCGAUACAUCGAGUAGCAAAAUGUAUCGGAUACGAUGGGUCACGUCAAUUAUUACGUAAAGAUGGUCAUCAUGCAGUCUGUUUUUUGCUUUCCUUUAUUGUUAAUGUACCGAAUGCAAAAGUUCUUUUACACGAUAUAGCCGAAUUAAUUAGUAUGGACGAGAAACAAAUGUUAAAGGAAUAUUUCCCUUAUAUUUGCAGUUAUGCAUUUUUAAACAUGCCGCUUACGACUGCUUCAGAAUGUUUGGAAUUAGUGUCAAGAAUCACGCAAACGAGUUUGUCAUUUUUAACGAAAGAAUCAUUUAUGGGUAUAUUUGAAGAACUUAUGUUAAAUUUUCAUGAAUCUCCUGAAAAAAUAGUUGGGCUACUAAAAAUUAUAUCGGAUUACGAUAACAGCUUGGAAAAAAAUUUCAUUAUACAUAAAGGAAUUGAAUCUUAUUUGAAUCUACGUUUACACGGUAUAUUAGUAAACUUUGAUAUGAAACUUGGGCCUAAAUCAGAUGAACAUACACAACAAUCUGCACUUGCUUCAUUAGCUGCACUGAUGAGAUAUAUGGGUACACAAUAUUUAACACCUUUAAGGUAUAAAAUUCUAGCAACACUGAGGACGUCGCUAGGAUUUAAAAGACCCGGAUUCGGUCCUCUUGUAUGCGAUGCGUGGAACGCGUUCAUUCAUAAUAUAAAUGUUAAAGAAAUUGGACCAUUAUUACCAACUAUAUGCGUAUCAUUAUUAUCAUUAUUAAAAAUGUAUCCAGAAGCCGUAAUUAAUAUAUUUAAGUUUUUAGUUAUACAAUGCAACGAAGAAAAUUCUGAUUACGUUGCCGAGUUAUUUUUUGUCGAUGAUAUGGAAGUUCCCGAUGAAAUUUCAAACAUAAUUAAAGCACGCAUUUUGCAAGUUAGGCCUGAAGGCUUUGAAGCAAAUUUAAAGUUAUGGCUUCAACGAAUUACUCAUGACACAGACGAAGUAAGAGCUAGAGCUUUGACAUAUUUACAAAAAUUUCUAGCCGAACAUCGAACUAAAUUAAAUGAAAUGAUUUUAAGUGGAACAAAUAUUCAUCCACUGAUUGUUGAUUUAUUGGAUACAUUAUUAAUUGGGUGUCAACAUAAAGAUGAAUCUAUUCGUUUAUUAUACGGUGAAUGUUUAGGAGAACUGGGUGCUAUUGAACCAAGCUUUCUUCCACGCAAAAUUAUUUCGAGAGACGACAUUCAAUUUAUUUCUGAUAUGAAUGAAGAAUUUGCCUGUGCUAUACUCUUUGAACAUGUACGAGCGUUGCAAAUGCAGAAAAGUAGUCAAAGCAUGGAUUGCUUUUCACUUGCUAUUCAAGAAAUUUUAAAAACAUAUGAUAUUUCACCGAAUCGACAAAAUUGUCAACUAUGGAACAGUCUCCCUGUAACUAUGAGGCAAAUUAUUACUCCUUUCUUAACAUCACAUUACAAGAUAGCAGCCAUUAGUGACGAUAAUAUGUUUCCUCAUCCUAUUUAUAGUUCGGAACUCGGUUCUUCGGUAGAAAAUUGGGCUUAUAAUUGGCUUUAUAGUAUGGUCAGUAACAUUCGUGAUGAAACGCUGAAUAACUUAUUACAAGCGUGUAAAUUGGCGCUUAAACGGGAUAUAAAAAUACUAACAUUUUGUUUACCUCAUGUUGUAUCAUACAUAAUAACGAAUGGGACAGAAGAAGAACACAGAAAAAUACGGGAAGAGAUAUUGACGAUAAUCGAUGUCAGAAAAAAACCUACGCUUGAUCCGGAAUUGUCGUGUCAUCGACCUCUUCGACAUGGACACAGCGUGAAAGCAGAUAAUACAAGAAUUUCUGAAGAAACUAGACGAACACGUUGUGCUCAGAUUGUGUUUUCGGUACUAGAUCAUUUACAAAGAUGGCUUUGGGAACAGCGAUUAAAGCGUGAUCAUAAAUACGAAGCACUUAAGGGAUUUUGCGAGAAAUUAAAUACAUUAGUAGUAGCUAAGGGUUGUUACCAAUCUCGGGAAUAUCAUAGAGCAUUAAUGUACUUGGAACAACAUAUGGCUUCCUCUAACAAACGAUUGUCAGAAGCAUUGGAGGGUGGAUUACUUGCUAAAAUAUAUGCACAAUUAGACGAGCCGGAUGGUAUAUCUGGUAUAUUAGCUAUCCAAGAUCAUACUCCUACAGUUCAACAAUUAGUUCUGGCUCAUGAAGUUAAUGGACAACUUCAGGACGCAGCUACGUGUUAUGAAAGAUUAGCUCAGAAAAGAGCUUUGAAACAUACAUAUUUGCAAGGCAUGAUUCAGUGUUAUCUUGGUCUCGAUCAACCCUUCACCGCGAAACAUAUUACUGAAGGAGUUUUGAGGAGUAGGCCAGAGCUGGAACCAUUAAUGAUCGAACAUGAACCAUUUUGGAGAUUGGCUCAUUUUACUAGACUCGAUGACACUCCCCAAAAAAAUAUAAAGCAUGUACUACUUGAAGAUCUUAAGAAGGGUAUUAAGCCAGAUUUACUAUCAUUGAAAAAAAACUUAGUAUCACUUUUGGAGGAUGCUUCACGCCCGGGGGCUUAUCAACAAAGUUAUUCCUAUAUUAUGAAGUUACAUAUAUUAAAUGAAUUUGACAAAGCAGUUUCUGCCAUGUUAACUGACGUAGAACAAUUACCAAUGAUAUUCGAAGAAUGGGAGAAACGUGGUCAACUUGUUCGGGCUUCGCGUGGAGUAGAAUUUAUUUUGAGUAUGCGCAGAGCUACGUUAGAUUUAGCGGUGCAAUUACAACAAGAAAUUGACAAUAAUGAAAGUGAGAUACUUAAGCAUGAAAUUGGUAAAACCUGGCUCAAAAGUGCCAAAAUUGCCCGAAAAAGUGGAUUACACCAACAAGCUUACAUGUAUAUAUUAUCAGCUAGUGAUUCAUGUCCAUCACAACAGCUUUAUAUCGAACAAGCUCAAUUAUAUUGGCAGAAAGGUUGUCAAGAAGAUGCUUUUACAACAUUAAAACGAUGUUUUUCUAGUUGUUUCAAACCAGCAACAUAUUACAAAACUUUACCCACGAGAGAAUGCGUUGAAGAGAGGAAACAGUGCGCAAAGGCCAAACUUUUGUAUGCAAGAUACAACGAUGAAACAGUUAAUGUAGAUACCGAUGCUAAUAUUAUAAAUUAUAAAGAAGCUAUUGAAGUUUGGAGAGAAUGGGAAAAAAGUUUACUCUACUGUGCACAGUAUUAUGAAUCCGUUAUAGAUAGAAUGACCGAUGAAGAAAAAGAUACAAGAGGACGAGACUUACAAGUACAUACUAUGAAUUACUAUGGAAAGUCACUUCAGUAUGGGUGCAAAUACAUUCAUCAAUCUAUGCCAAGAAUGUUAACUAUAUGGUUGGAUUUCGCUUCUCGUGCAACAUCAAGGCUUAUCUCUUCCGCGAACUUAGAACAGAAUAAACUUCGACAAGAUGCACUAUUAAAAAUGACAAAAAUUAUGGAGGUAUAUCAAGAAAGGCUACCAAUAUUUAUGUGGCUAACUGCAUUCAGUCAACUCGUAUCCAGAAUAUGUCAUCCCUCCACGGAAGUACAAAAUACUCUCUGUAUAAUAUUAGCAAAGUUAAUUCAUGCCUAUCCUCAACACAGUUUAUGGAUGAUGGCAUCGGUUAUCAAUUCUUCCUACCCUGCACGCCAAAAACGGUGUCAAGAAAUUCUCGGUCACCCUAAACUAAAAACGGUUGAAAUGACAAAACUUAUCAGAGAUUUUCAUAAAUUGUGGGAACGACUAAUCGAGUUAUCCAACAAAACAAUACCGGAUGGUCUUUUAAACACUACCGUAACUCAACUGUCUCGAAAUCUUCCACGCUUACUUACGAGUAAGGAUUUUAGUUCAAUUAUGAUACCAACAACCAAGUUCAGGCAACUUCACUUGCCCUCUAAGGGUGCAUCUUUAGAAAAUUAUAAUCCAUUUUCUUCAAAAUGGGUUCAUAUAGUAGGGAUAGAGGAGAAUGUAGCUGUUAUGCCAUCGCUUCAAAGACCACGACGUAUUACAUUAAGAGGAUCAGAUGGUAAAGAAUAUCUUUUCAUGUGUAAGCCUAAGGAUGACCUACGAAGGGAUUUUAGAUUAAUGGAAUUUAAUGAUAUUGUAAAUAAAUAUCUUCAAAAUGAUCCAGAAUCACGUCAAAGAAGAUUAUAUAUUCGAACAUAUAGUGUUGUACCUUUGAACGAAGAGUGUGGUUUGGUUGAAUGGGUACCAAAUUUAGUUGGUUUUAGACCUAUUAUAAUGAACUUGUAUAAAGAAAGAGGUAUUGCUAUUUCAAGCAGAGAACUUAGGAGCAUGUUAUGCACUCUGAAAGAUCUGUUAGAUAAAAAGAGAAAGGUAUUCUUAGAGCAACUUUUACCGCGACAUCCCUCAGUACUCGGAGAUUGGUUUCGUCUUACAUUCCCUGAUCCAUAUGGAUGGUAUGAGGCACGUACCGCUUACAUUAGAACUACAGCAGUAAUGUCCAUGGUGGGAUACAUUCUCGGUCUUGGAGACCGCCAUGGAGAGAAUAUAUUAUUCGAUUCUAAAUGUGGUGACUGCGUGCAUGUGGACUUUAAUUGUCUAUUUAACAGGGGAGAAUUGUUUGAAUGGCCGGAACGUGUACCGUUUCGUUUAACGCAUAAUAUGGUAGACGCUAUGGGACCAUUGAAAAUUGAAGGACCGUUUAGACGUGCCUGCGAAAUAACUAUGAGGGUUCUUCGACAACAGAGUAGUACAUUAUUAAGUGUGCUAACACCAUUCGUAUAUGACCCACUUGUAAGCUGGAAUAAGAAUCAGGCCGGUGAAGGUGGUGAAAAAACAAAUGAAAAAGCUGUAGAGCAUAUAAAGAAUAUAGAACAACGGCUUAAAGGGUUGAUUCGAUCUCAUGGAAAAAAAUUAGAAAAUAUUGCUUUAAAUCUUAGUGUUGAAGGACAAACUAAUCAUCUGAUUCUAGAAGCAACAAAUGUAGAUAAUCUUUGUCAAAUGUAUUUCGGAUGGGGCGCAUACAUGUAACGGACGUUGUAAUUCAUACAAUUUAUACAUAAUUUAUACACAAUACAGCAAACAAGUAUAAACUUCAAUUAGAGUUUUCCAGCUGUAAUAGAACAAGGUUUUUGAGAACGUAAUAUGAUCAUGCAGACUUCAUCUUUAAUACAACGUGGCAAUUUGUACCAUUGAAUGGUGUAUACAGCUGUGCUUAUAUCAGUACUCUAUCAUCAUAAAAAUCAAUUUACAACAAUAUAUAUAUAUAUAUAUAUAUAUUAUAUAUUCAAUAAAAAUUGUAUACAUUAUAUUAUUUACCUGUCGCAUUAAAAUAUCGCCGGGAAAACAGAAAAGUAAUAAUUGGAAAAGUGCCACGAUUAAGUGAGAGAAGGAUGUAAUUAAUUUAGAAUGCUCUGUUAGUGCCUGUAAUUAAGAACUUGUAUUUACUUUAUACUUUCCCGUUAAUUAAGAAACAAAAUACUUGGUUAAAGUUAUACUUACAGUAGAAACCUGAAAUCCAACAAAACAAAUUAUGAUACUGCUAGUGAUAGUUUGUAAAAAGAGCAUUAGGUGAAAAUUCUUUUCCAUGUUAUCACAAAACCUGAAUUUCAUUAGAAUGAAAAAGAAAAUAGUAGUAAAAUGUGCACUUAAACGUAUCAAAAUCAUUUACCAAAGAAUGAUUUGAUGAUGUUGAAUCACAUGCAUCAAUUGAAUUUUUAUAUUGUACAUAUUGGUAUCUAUGUUUUUCAAAUUAUUUUCUGAAUUGGUUAUCUAUAAGGUACGAAGUUAUUGCUUAGAUGAUAAUUCCAUUAGUUUUACGGUAAAACUAUAUACGAAUGAUAUGAUACAUACACAGUAAAUACAUGAAUCAAGUUCCUUUAAUUGUUGUUUAAGUACUGCAAAAUGGCCACAUGUAUGAAGCAAAGCAGAUGCUAUUAAAGCAUCAGUUGCAAGCAUAAUCAGAGCGCAGAUAUUUGUUGCUAACACUUGGUGUAUAUAUAUAAUCUGUAGAUGCAUAAAUUGAACAUUCCAGUUGAAUUGUAUUUGUAGCAAAAGGAAAGUAUAUGCAACGUGUAUAAUACCUGAUAGAAAGGAAAUUUGUCAAAAGCCACAGGGGCUGCUCCAGUAAAUGGAAAAUUCUUCAUAGUAAAAUUAUUAUUUGAAUCUUGAUGUUUACUAAUGAGUACUUCAAUAAUAGGUAAACUACUAUAAAAUAAUAGUGUAUUGAACAUGGAAACAAGAUAGCCCUUUGAAAUGUAUUUAGCAUAUCUAAAAUAACAUGUUUUUAUUUAUAUUAAAACGUACUGUUACAGUAGCAUUACUAUUAGUUUGGAGAUUAAUGAUAUUAUUUACAUUGCAUAUUCUUGUAAAUGUAUAAAAACAUCAACUUUAACUAUGUUCCAAUAACUUGUUAACAUGAAAUUAACAAAGUACUCCAAACUUUUUCUGUUGAACAUCCAAAUUAUUGACUUUAAUACAGCAAGUGCUAUCGUUAACAAAGAUGAACUGUAAACAAUGAGAACUUCUUAUUACUUCUAUUAAAUUUGAAUUAUUUAAUUGUUAA